rnacentral:rRNA from 1 species
GACAAACGCUGGCGGCGUGCUUAACACAUGCAAGUCGAACGGAAAGGCCCUGCUUUUGUGGGGUGCUCGAGUGGCGAACGGGUGAGUAACACGUGAGUAACCUGCCCUUGACUUUGGGAUAACUUCAGGAAACUGGGGCUAAUACCGGAUAGGAGCUCCUGCUGCAUGGUGGGGGUUGGAAAGUUUCGGCGGUUGGGGAUGGACUCGCGGCUUAUCAGCUUGUUGGUGGGGUAGUGGCUUACCAAGGCUUUGACGGGUAGCCGGCCUGAGAGGGUGACCGGCCACAUUGGGACUGAGAUACGGCCCAGACUCCUACGGGAGGCAGCAGUGGGGAAUAUUGCACAAUGGGCGGAAGCCUGAUGCAGCAACGCCGCGUGCGGGAUGACGGCCUUCGGGUUGUAAACCGCUUUCGCCUGUGACGAAGCGUGAGUGACGGUAAUGGGCAAAGAAGCACCGGCUAACUACGUG